UACAGAGGUCCCAAGCGUUGUUCGGAUUUACUGGGCGUAAAGGGUGCGUAGGCGGUGGGGUAAGUUUGAGGUGAAAGCUCCGGGCUCAACCCGGAAAAUGCCUUGAAAACUAUCCGGCUAGAGGGUUGGAGGGGAGACUGGAAUUCUCGGUGUAGCAGUGAAAUGCGUAGAUAUCUGGAGGAACACCGGUGGCGAAGGCGACAUCCUGGACCGGUAUUGACGCUGAGGCGCGAAAGCCAGGGGAGCAAACGGG
rnacentral:rRNA from 1 species